rnacentral:rRNA from 1 species
UAAAACAUGCAAGUUGAACGCGAAAGUCUUCGGAGUGAGUAGAGUGGCGGACGGGUGAGUAACGCGUAGGUAUCUACCUUGAAGUGGGGGACAACCUGGGGAAACCCAGGCUAAUACCGCAUACGCCCUACGGGGGAAAGUGGGGGUCGGCUCGCGCUUCAAGAUGAGCCUACGUCCGAUUAGCUUGUUGGUGGGGUAAAGGCCUACCAAGGCGACGAUCGGUAGCUGGUCUGAGAGGACGAUCAGCCACACUGGGACUGAGACACGGCCCAGACUCCUACGGGAGGCAGCAGUGGGGAAUAUUGGACAAGGGCGCAAGCCUGAUCCAGCAAUGCCGCGUGUGUGAAGAAGGCCUGCGGGUUGUAAAGCACUUUCAGUAGGGAAGAAAAGCUCAUGGUUAAUACCCGUGGGUCUUGACGUUACCUACACAAGAAGCACCGGCUAAUUCAGUGCCAGCAGCCGCGGUAAUACUGAAGGUGCAAGCGUUAAUCGGAAUUACUGGGCGUAAAGCGCACGUAGGCGGUUGAGUCAGUCGGAUGUGAAAGCCCCGGGCUUAACCUGGGAAUUGCAUUCGAUACUGCUCGACUUGAGUAUGGUAGAGGGUAGCGGAAUUCCGGGUGUAGCGGUGAAAUGCGUAGAUAUCCGGAGGAACAUCAGUGGCGAAGGCGGCUGCCUGGACCAAUACUGACGCUGAGGUGCGAAAGCGUGGGAGCAAACAGGAUUAGAUACCCUGGUAGUCCACGCCGUAAACGAUGUCGACUAGCCGUUGGGCUUAGAGGGUUUAGUGGCGCAGCUAACGCGAUAAGUUCUCCGCCUGGGGAGUACGGCCGCAAGGUUAAAACUCAAAUGAAUUGACGGGGGCCCGCACAAGCGGUGGAGCAUGUUGUUUAAUUCGAUGCAACGCGAAGAACCUUACCACCCCUUGACAUACUCGGAACUCGGCAGAGAUGCCUUGGUGCCUUCGGGAACCGAGAUACAGGUGCUGCAUGGCUGUCGUCAGCUCGUGUCGUGAGAUGUUGGGUUAAGUCCCGUAACGAGCGCAACCCUUGUCCUUACUUGCCAGCGGGUAAUGCCGGGAACUUUAAGGAGACUGCCGGUGACAAACCGGAGGAAGGUGGGGACGACGUCAAGUCAUCAUGGCCCUUACGGGGUGGGCUACAAACGUGCUACAAUGGGAAGUACAAAGGGCUGCAAACCAGCAAUGGUAAGCGAAUCCCAAAAAGCUUCUCGUAGUCCGGAUAGGAGUCUGCAACUCGACUCCUUGAAGUCGGAAUCGCUAGUAAUCGCGAAUCAGAAUGUCGCGGUGAAUACGUUCCCGGGCCUUGUACACACCGCCCGUCACACCAUGGAAGUUGUUUGCACCAGAAGUAGGUAGUCUAACCCCCGGGAGGCGUUUACCACG